rnacentral:snRNA from 1 species
AUGCAGCAUGUAUACUAAAAUUGGAAAGAUACAUUAGCAUGGCCUUUGCAGCAGUAUGACUCCCAAAUUCGUGAAGUGUUCCAUAUUUUU